GCCGGGCACGGUGGCUUGUGCCUGUAAUCCAAGCGCCGGGGAGGCUGAGGCUGGUGGACGGCUUGAGCCUGGGGGUUCUGGGCUGCAGCGAGCUGUGCCGAGCAGGCGUCCGCGCUAAGGCCGGCAUCGAUAUGGUGGUCCUGGGGGAGCCGGGGGUCACCAGGUCGCCUAAGGAGGGNGGCUGCAGCGAGCUGUGCUGAGCGGGCGUCCGCGCUAAGGCCGGCAUCGAUAUGGUGGUCCUGGGGGAGCCGGGGGUCACCAGGUCGCCUAAGGAGGGGUGAACCGGCCCAGGUCGGAGACGGAGCAGGUCAAAGCUCCCGUGCCGGUCAGUAGUGGGAUGGCGCCUGUGAACAGUCCCUGUAGCACAGCCCGGGCGAGAGAGCGGGACCCAGCCUCUU
rnacentral:SRP_RNA from 1 species